GGCAGAUAACAUCAUCUUGUAUCCAGAGGCUCUAAUGGUCCCCAUUGUCAGUGCAUUGCCUCUCAAUUCAGGGAAAGCCUUUGGCAGCUUUCCUAUGCUAUUUGGGAAAUAGCCUAAUUAUAAAUAUUUUGUGCCUCUUAGAUGUCUGUAUAACAACUCUUGGAAGCCAAGCACUUACAGCAAAAGAUGACUGCUAAUACUGCGGUAGGGUCCACGUGUUGCUAAUGCAUGUGCCUCUGUAGCCUGGGCUGUAUUUUGAUUGGGGUUUUUUUUUUUUUUUUUUUUGGAGACGGAGUUUCGUCGUUGUUACCCAGGCUGGAGUACAAUGGCGCGAUCUUGGCUCACCGCAACCUCCGCCUCCUGGGUUCAGGCAAUUCUCCUGCCUCAGCCUCCUGAGUAGCUGGGAUUACAGGCACGCACCACCAUGCCCAGCUAAUUUUUUGUAUUUUUAGUAGAGACGGGGUUUCACCAUGUUGACCAGGAUGGUCUCCAUCUCUUGACCUUGUGAUUCACUCGCCUGGGCCUCCCAAAGUGCUGGGAUUACAGGCUUGAGCCACCGCGCCCGGCCCUGAUUGGGGUUUUACCAAACUUGAGAGAACAAUAACAUCCUACCUCAAUUUACCUCCUGAGAUUGUUAGGAUUAAAUGAGUUUGCAGUGAGAGGGCACGCUUAGAACAUAUGUAUUUAGCACUCCAUAUAAGUCAUGAUUAAUGUUUUCAACCAAAGAUUAAUGAGUGAUCUAAGUUUACAUUCUUGAGUUGGAAAUGAUUACGCAGUUCUAAAUUUACUUAAAUGAUCUAUCAGGAAUUCUGAACAAAGCUUGGUUUAAAGAGUUAUGGCCAUGUAGGGCAAAUAGAAACAAGUGCAUGUGUAGUUGAGUACAACAUAGGUUCUGAGCAAUGUCUAAACCAAGAAGACAGGAUGAGGCUUGUGUGCAGUGGUGCAGCACUGUUCAUCUUGGCUCCCAUCUCUUGCACAUUGUAGGUUCCCUGCAAUCUUUAAAAUAUCAGGUCUGAGUAGAUGGGAAUAUAAAGAGGGCCUGAGGGUAGAAACUUGGCAUAAUGAUAUGAGGUGUCCUAGCAGUGGCAGUAAGCUUUUGUUCAUCUAGGACAUUUAGGGAGUGAAACUGACCUCAGGAGAAAGCAAGGGAAGGAUCAACAUAGGCCUAAAAGGAUGCCCCGUCAGUUACCACCAAUCCCACGGUGGCCUUGACUUCUAUCAGAGGGCAAUUCUUAGCCCCUCCCUUGUGAUGUUUGUAUUAUUAGCUUAAGUCACAGGAAACUGAAGGGGAUACAUCUUAACACAGAAACAGAAGCUCUGGCUUUUCUAUUUCACCUUGACCUUUGGAGAAGCACUUAGUCCUGGGCCCCCAUUUUCUCCUGGAUAAAAUGAGACAGUUAGGGGAGAUCAAUUAAGUAACUUCCACUUCAACAUUCAUUGUGUCUGGCUUGAAGUGACGAGGAGGAGUUUUGGUACCUACAAGCUUUGGGGAGUGUCUCUUGGCACGAUUUCCCAGGCCUGGUGUUCUUUCUGCCAUUGCAGGAGUCUGCAUCUGUCCCAGUGGAGUCAGCCUCUCCCGGGAGCACUUCCAAUAUGUUGGCCUCAUAAGGUCGGAGUGGUUUGACAAGCAAUCAGGGCUGUCACCAAGGAGCAGACUACAUUCCUUUUAUCUUGAAUGGAAAAUGAGGCUUGUCCCUUCCUGCGGUUUUUGUACUUGAGCCUUAUGGUUGACUGGCCUCAUGGAAAGAGGUUUGAACAUUUGACAAGCCUCAUUUGUCAAAUGUUCUCCACACUACAUGAGGAGAGAAUGUGCUCCACACUACAUGAGGAGGAGAGCUGUUGGAACACUUGCUCACCUGAGGGUGUCUCCACCACAUACUUUUACUCACCAGGGUGCUCUAGUACUUUGAUGAAAGGAGUGACCACAGAGGGCUUUGUGGUCUGGGAAGCUUUGAGAGGAGAAAGGACUUGAGUUUGUCCUUUGGGAAGUCAGAUGAACCUUCCAAGCCAGACCCCAAUAAAGCACUUCAUUGUUGAACAUUUGGUAAGCCUGUGAUUGUGGCAUGCAGAGAGAACCUGCCAUAGUUAAUGGCUUGUGGCAGGCUCUCCAGGCAGGCCCCCUCCCCAUUUCUUUAAACAGUGGAGGCUCUUUAAAGGCUUUCAAACGUAGAGACUACAGUGGUCAGCAACAAAGCCACUUUAAGGAAGAGAAAGUUCAGGCCGGGUGCAUUGACUGGAGAGUGGCUACCCUACAGACAUAGCUGCCCACAUUUAUGGUGGCUGUUGAGGCCGUGCAGGGAUGAGGUGGGAGGGGCUGCUGGGCUCUGGAGUGAUCCAUGUGACUGACGCUGCACUGAGGAACUGGGACAUGUGUUGCUAAACGUGGGUAGCUGCAGGAGAAAAAAACCACUCCACUUGGAAAAACGGUGGUGCCACUACUUACCAAGCACUUAAUGUCCAGGCAUGAUGUUCAUUGUCUCCACCAUUCAGAGACGUGAACAGGCUUAGGAAGGUAAUGUAAUGUGCCCAACGUCCUAAGCUAGUAAGAGAAGCUUACCCAGGCAGUCCUGCUGUAGGCCCUACACAGGGAGAGUGGCUGCUCUUGCAGCUCAGCGUUCCCUAGUUGCUGGGAACAAUUCCCCUCUGCUCAGACCUGCUCACCAGACUCAGCAAGCAAAUGAAAGCACUACAUUCAGCUGGUCCUACCUCCUUAGAAAGUCAGGGCCUCUGGUUAUCCUUGCAUGCGUGAGGUCUCAUCCGCCACCCUCAGCACUUUUAUAAAGGUGCUCCUUUAUAAAAGGAGCUGUAUCAUUCUCCCAGUGGAGAAUUCUGAUUUCCAGCGAUGUUUUUGCUCUUCCAUUAAACCUAUGCACCCAGAUGACAGUUUGGCUACCUUACUGCUAAUUCAGUUGUUUGAAUCACUGUUAAAUGUGGUUCAUUUAGGAAUACAGAAGAUGAAGACCAAGUUGUUUUUUUUUUUUCUUUUGAGACAGUCUUGCUCUGUUGCUCAGGCUGGAGUGCAGUGGCAGGAUCUUAGGUCACUGCAACCUCUGCCUCCUGGGUUCAAGCGAUUCUCCUGCGUCAGCCUCCUGAGUAGCUGGCAUUACAGGCAUGCACCACUACGCCCAGCUAAUUUUUGUAUUAUUAGUGGAGAUGGGGUUUCACCAUGUUGGCCAGGCUGGUUUCAAACUCAACCUCGUGAUCCACCUACCUCAGCCUCCCAAAGUGCUGGGAUUACAGACGUGAGCCAUCGUGCCAAGCAAGGCCAAGUUUCUUAUAGAAAAGCUCCCCCUUUUGGGUGGAGGUUGGACUAGAUGCCCUAGAAGUUUCCUUCCAAAUCCAAGACUGUGAUUUUCUGCAGGAUUGGAUUGCGGACCCCCUGAGAUCAGAGAGAGAUGAUACACACAGAGCUGAACUCCAAGGCCCCAGACACAUUGCUGAUGAGCCAAGUCUCUUCACAUUUGCCUCCUUUUUGGCCCAGGUGAAAUGAAGGUCCAAAAUGUCCCUGUGGCUUAGGCCUCUGCCAACAGAAGCUGAUAUUCUGUACUUAAGGGCAUAGGAAAGGGUUUCUAACUUGUUUUGUACAUGCACUUAGAUUUUUAAAACUUAGUUGUAGGGUUUCAUGAGCUCCAAAAUGCAGCAGCUUCAUGGAGGGGAUCUGGUUCAUAGCUGGAAAGGACUGGCCUUCCUCCAUCAUGGCCAAGAGCAGAGUAGUACCUUCCCAGUCCUUGAGCACCAAAUCCUACUGAGGCAACUGGACUGCUGAAAUUGGAUCCAUAGGAAGAACAGACGGACAGGAAACGAGCCAGCUGCCUCAUUGUAGCCAUCUCAGCAGAAGAAGACUGAGCCUCUGCUGGGCCUGGAGCUUCCAAGCCUCCUGUUCCCCUUACUGGCAAAAAGCCCCAGUAUUCACUGGGAUCGGGGGGUCCCCAUGCUAAACCUAGGCUCCCCAAUUCCCUGUUCUAACAGCUCUCUACUUAAUAGCAGCAGCUAAUUAUGAUUUGCAUUGUCUCAAUGAAUCCCCACAACAACCCUAUGAGGUUAUCAUGGCCAUGCCACAGGUGAAAAGUGAGGCGACUGGACCUAGAUUAGGGGAUUUGCCUAAAAUGACAACUAGCAAGCAGUGGAGUCAGGACUGAAACCCAGACUUUUAACCCCCAUGCUGUACUGCAACUCAUGUGUCACAAAUGUUACUCAUUAAUUCAAGUGUCUCCCCAGCUAGAACUUAGGGUCCUGGAGAGCAGGGACUCCACCUGUCACAUUCACCACUGGAUCUCCUGGCUCGUGGUGGGAGGUUAAUAAAUGCAUGUUGGAUUAAAUAAUGAUGAGUGGGUGGGUGACUCCCCCUGUCCAUCCCGGGACACUGGCUUUGUCCUCAUCCUGUGCGGACGCCAUGUGGAGCCAAUCCGAUUUUCUAGACGCAAAUGAUGGCUCUGCAAUAGCUUUGCAGAUGGCUCUGAGGUGCACAAUCCUUAAUGGAAUCCUCCUGGAUCCGAACACACAAACUGGUGGCCUGCAGCCACCAUUGAACCAUAGCCAUGUUGUGUUCGGCCCAUGCCGUGUUUUAAAUUGUUGAAUUAGCUGACAAUUCCAUGUGAAAAUCUGAUUUCAGGCUUAUCUUGAAAAAAGCCAGUAGAUCUGGCAACCCUGGGCUCGCAAUCCCCACCCAGCUGCCUUCAGCGGACUCCCGGCAGCUGCUGCCCCCUCGAGGCAGUACUUGUGCUCUGCAGCUCUCCAUCCCUCUCGGGCCCACCCACCUCUGUCUUUCGCUGGAUCCGCUCUGCCCCUGCUGGAGGCCCAACGUUUGCAGUCCCUGACACAGAGAACAGCAACUCCAUCACUCCAAGUCAGCCAAACCUUUUUUUAGAUCAAAAGUCGAAUCAGCACAAAAGGAUGUAUAAUAAAAGUGAAUCUCCCUCUCUCCCAGGUUACCGGAUCUGUCCCGCAGACCCUGGCCAACGGAUGAAAUGAGUACUCAGAGACAGGUAUGCAACAUAAGAGCAGCUACGGGACUGCCUGGCUCUAGUGGCCAGAAAGCAGCCCUAAGAAGCUGGAACUGAUUGCUUUUUAUUCAGUGCAGGCACAAUGCCAGAGACCUGGAGCCUGCAGGUAAUUAACACACAACCUGCAGGUAAUUAACAUUUACUGAUCUCCUUUUAGGGAACAUUACACACAUGGGAUGAUCAAAGGUCGAUUUGUGGUCAAUGUAAGUGAGCCUGUUUAAGAUAAAUUCCCCUACACUCCUUGCCCUCUGUCUCGUGGUUAUAGAACAGCUGCCUUCAGCUAUUCUUCCCCGGGGCUCUGCAAAACCUUCCAAACUUUCAGAAGGUUUGCAUCCUUUCCCUAUAGCUUUUCCUCACCACUCUGAUCAAUCCCCUACACCAGGUCACCUCGCUGCCGCCUGUGUCUUCUUCCAGAGAUGUGCUGUACCUUUAAACCCAGUCACCAAACACUCACUGGCACCUCUAUGGGCCAGAUACCAGUGGGGUAUCAGGAUCACGAUCACGUGGUACUUUUUCAAAUAUGAGACUCGGGACCCUCAUCAGACCUUUGGAGGUAGAAUUUCUAAAACUGGAGCCAGCCUGUGGCUGGGUGUGGUGGCUCACACCUAUAAUCCCAGAACUUUGGGAAGCCAAGGCAGGAGGAUCACUUGAGCCCAGGAGCUGGAGACCAGCCUUAUUUAUUUAGAGACAUAGUGAGACUCUGUCUCUAAAUAAAUAAAUAAUUAAAAAAAAAAAAAGGUAAAUAGCCGGGUGUGGUGGUUUACGCCUGUAAUCCCAGCACUUUGGGAGACUGAGGUGGGCAGAUCACCUGAGGUCAGGAGUUUGAGACUAGCCUGACCAAUAUGGUGAAACCCAGUCUUUAAAAAAUAAAAAAAAAGUAAAUAAAAUUGGAGCCCUAGUAACUAGAAUUUAUUUUUUCAGACAGGGUCUCUAUGUCACCCAAGCUGGAGUGCAGUGAAGACAGUUCACUGCAGCCUCAACCUCCUUGGCUCAAGCAAUCCUCCCACCUCAGUUUCCAGAGUAGCUUGGACUACAGGUGUGUGCCACCAUGGCCAGCUAAUUUUUGUAUUUUUUGUAGAGCUGAGGUUUCACCAUGAUGCCCAGGCUGGUCUUGAACUCCUGAGCUCAAGCAAUCCACCACUCUCAACCUCCCAGAGUGCUGGGAUUACAGGCAUGAGUCACCACGUCUGGCCGUGAUUUUUUUUAAGCCAACAAUGUUUUCUCUUGCUGCUCAUCUAGGCAGAGACCUCUCUACUCAGGAUGCAACAUCCUAAACACCAGUGCUAUCUCUCCAGUCCCUGCAGCUGCACCCAUCACAGCCCCUGCUCACAGGGUGCAGACCGUACCCUGCACAGGGGAUCUUGCCAAGGAGCUGCGGGGCCUGAAAUCCACUCAUACCCUAGAACCAAGGCACACAUCACAUCCCCUCAUCUUCUCAGGAGCAGGCACCACUUCUUAAUUUACCAUGUCACCCAUUCAGUACAAAUACAGGGAGACCUGUCCUCUGCUGUGGGACACAGGGGCUUCUCAGAUUGCAGGCCCAGGAUGACUUUCUGUAGGAGAUAAUGCUUGGGCCAAGUUUGGUUUAGGGAGUAGAAGCAAAGAAGGCACCUCUCUACCCUUUACCUCCCCAGUGCAGGCCACCCUACCCCAUGUCCCACCCCAUGACUCCCUGUGGUUAUCAGGGGCACCACCAUUCUCCUGGCCACUGAUAGGGACACUUUAAUAACAGUGCACAUUGGCCAGGCACAGUGGUUCACACCUGUCAUCCUAGCACUUUGGGAGGUUGAGGUGGGCAGAUCACUGGAAGUCAGAAUUUUGAGACCAGCCUGGCCAACAAUGGUGAAACCCAUCUCUACUAAAAAUACAAAACGCUGGGCAUGGUGGUGGGUGCCUGUCUGUAAUCCCAGCUACUUGGGAGGCUGAGGAAGGAGAAUCACUUGAACCCAGGAGGCAGAGAUUGCAGUGAGCCGAGAUCAUGCCAUUGCACUACAGCCUGGACAAUAAGAGCAAGAAUGUGUCUCAAAAAAAUAAAUAAAAAAUAACAGUGCACAUCAAGAAGACCCUCAGGGACAGACUGGGGCAUAAGGAGGCAUCAGCCAUACAUCAGACCAGUGUGUCUGGCUGCUGGGAUUCACUUGGGGUGGCUGCAAAAUACUAGGGAAAUAUUAGGGAAAGUUAGAAGAUUAUAGUCUCAAACCUUUUGGAAAGCUGACAGAUUUUAAUGGAAUGAACUGAAGGCAGCCAGUUCAUUACGUUAGAACUUUAAGUCAUAGGGUGAAGAUUAGAAUAAUAAAAACUUGUCCAGUUAAGUCUGUUUACCUCACAUUCCUUUGUCCCUACUCUGUUUACUCAUGUAAACUUUGUGCCGAAUGGUCUUCUCAGGGGAGGUCAAAGGUGAAUUUCCUAUUAAUGGUGUUUUUUCUGGGCCCCAGUAUCAGGACCUUUUAUCAUUCAUAAAACAACUCUUUUAACCAUGUUAGUUAUCCACAAGCGUGUUGACUUACAACCUCUCUUAUUAAAUCUAUACUGAAUAAAUGUGAGGAGGACAGGGAAUCUGGUUGGUUAGCUGCAAUCGCCCUGUGAGAGCAGCUGAUGACCAUCCCUAGCCCACUCAGAUUCACUGUAUUCUGGUGUAUGUGAGUGCAUUUUAUUCAUCCAUCGUUGAGUCAGGGUCUUCAGGACAGACCUCCAUAGGUGAUGAUCAACGUCUCAGGUGGUGACCCUGACAUGACAGGUCUCACCUGGCCUGGGCUGUUUGAGAGUAACUGGUUUGGUGUUCAGAAGUGCCUGCAGGAGGGAGUCGCAGUGCAGGGAACUUGUGGCCUUGGAAGGUCUCCUGAGAGGCCCUGCAAACCCAGAGUCCCUCUUAGCAGCUCAAAUUGGUGCUAUCAAAGUGUACUAGCAGUUCGAUUGCUGCCAGUACACAAACUUUUACUAGUCUGCAGCGAGAUAAGUACAAAAGUUGAAAGUAAGCAUUUAGAAACUUUUAUAACAAUUUUACAAGGUCUUGUUGAAUGCUAUUAAAAUGAAGCUAAGGGUAGAAUUUUGCCUCAUUUUCCAUUUCUUUUUUUCUAUUUAAAUUAUUGUGGUAAAAUAUAGAUAAUAUAAAUGUACUAUUUUAGCCUUUUUUGUGUGUGUGUGACAGAGUUCUGCUCUUGUUGCCCAGGCUGGAGUGCAAUGGUAUAAUCUUGGCUCACUGCAACCUCCACCUCUCAGGUUCAAGCAAUUCUCCUGCCUCCACCUCCCGAGUAGCUGGGAUUACCGGCAUGAGUCACCACACCUGGCUAAUUUUGUAUUUUUAGUAGAGAUGGGAUUUCUGUAUGUUGGUCAGGCUGGUCUUGAACUCCCGACCUCAGGUGAUCCACCCGCCUUGGUCUCCCAAAGUGCAAGGAUUACAGGUGUGAGCCACUGUGCCCAGCCUAUCUUAGCCAUUUUUAAGUGUACAAUUUAGUAGCAGUAAGGGCUUUCACAAUAUUUUGUAACCACUAGUAUUAUGUAGUAUAUACUUUUAAAAUUUUACUGAAGUAUAAGUUUGCAGCAGAUUAAACUUUUUUAAAAGUUGAUUUGAGAAGCACUGGCCUAAAUGGUAACCUGUGGGGAAGAAUUGGGCCCCUAAUUGAGGCGCUUGAGUCCAGUGCUUGGCUUUUUUUCCCCAAAUCACGGAGUGGAGUUAGGCCCCAGAGAAUGGUGUGGGCUGAGGCCAGGCUCCCUCCCAGGCUAGAAAACCGGGCAGACAGACACCACCCUUGAAGGGCAGCUAGCCAGGCACUGCACAGCCUGGGGCAGUGCUGUCCUGUGUGCCUGGGACAGGAAGGCUGGAUGAGAGGCCCCGGGGCUGUUUUGUUUAGAGGCCCAGCAGGCUUUCCUUCUGACUCAGCGUUGUUUAGAAUCCCAGGAAUCUCAGCUCCAGCUGGAAGGACCAUCAGCGGCUCCACUGUGGUGGAAUCUACCCUUCUUGUUUAAAGAAGGAAUCUGGGGCCAGAGAGAAAGGACUGAUUCAAGGUUGCAACCAGUUAGUGAUGGUCUCAAAUACAGGCCUUGUAGUUCCUAGGCAGAAGCAGGGCAGAGAUUUUAUUUUAUUUUAUUUAUUUUUUUGAGAUGGAACCUUGCUCUGUCACCCAGGCUAGAAUGCAGUGGCACCAUCUCGGCUCUGCUGCCUCAGCCUCUUGGGUAGCUGGGAUUGCAGGCAACCUCUCCUGCCUCAGCCUCCUGAGUAGCUGGGAUUGCAGGCAACCUCUCCUGCCUCAGCCUCCUGAGUAGCUGGGAUUGCAGGCACCCCACCAUGAUGCCCAGCUAAUUUUUGUGUUUUUAGUAGUGACAAGGCUUUGCCAUGUUGGCCAAGCUGAUCUCGAACUCCUGACCUCAGGUGAUUCUUCCUCCUUGGCCUCCCAAAGUGCUGGGAUUACAGGCGUCAGUCACAGUGCCCGGCCUAAUUUAUUUUUAAUUUUAAUUUAAAAAUUUUUUUCAGACUUCAGUGAGCAUAAGAAGGGGCACAGAUUUUUAGAGUAACACAGAAUGGCAUUCUGGUUCUGGCUCCAAGAGCUCUACAGGGGCCUUGGGCACCCACACCCUCAUCUGUAAACUGCAGAAAUUACCUUGAAGGCUGCAUGAGUAUUGAGCCCAGUGCUGAGUUUAAUGAAACACUGGUUCCUCCCUGCCAGUAUUCCUCCUGCCAGCUUCAUGGGUCUUCCCAGCCUGCCAUUUCCCCUCAUUGUGGGUGGUGGGGGCAGAGGAAGGCAGACUCUUUCCCCCAGAAUGAGAGCGGGGGGCUCACAGCCCGCUGCACCCACCCACCUCAGCAACACUGUCCCCACUGGCCUUCUUUCUGUACUUGACUCUGCUUACUCUCUGGAUCUUUGGCCUUUCUUUCCAAGAUGCAGAACAUUUGUAAAAUUGAAGGGGUUGGACCAGAACUCAAAAGUCCAUUUCGAGAAGGGGAAGCUAAAGUCCAGAUGCCUUGCAUUUCUGUGUCUUUUCUAGGAGGUCCAAACUCCCAGCACAUCUGAGUGGGCUGCCCCCAGGGGACUGGGACAUCUGCUUCUAUGUUACCUGGCUUCAUCAUUUCUCACUCCCUCCUGUCUCUCUUUUCUUUCUUUUACAUGACUGAAGUUGUUUGAGGUCUUACGAUUUGCUGUGCAUUGUAUAGGUAUUUUAAAUAAUGCAUCUUAUUAAAUUCCUUUUUUGUGGGGGAAUGGAGUUUUGCUCUUGUUGUCCAUGCUGGAGUGCAGUGGCAUGAUCUUGGUUCACCGCAAUCUCCACCUCCUGGAUUCAAGUGAUUCUUCUGCCUCAGGCUCCUGAGUAGCUGGGAUUACAGGAGCCUGCCACCACGCCUGGCUAAUUUUUGUAUUUUAGUAGAGAUGGACCUUCACCAUGUUGGUCAGGUUAAUCUCGAACUCCUGACCUCAGGUGAUCCAGCUACCUCGGCCUCUCAAAGUGCUGGGAUUGCAAGCAUGAGCCACCAUGCCCGGCCCUUACUGAAUCCUUAAAACAACCUUGUGAAGUAAAUACUCUUCUUUUUAUCCCAUUUUUAUAGAUGAGGAAACUGAGGUUCAGAGAGGGUUAGGUUACUUAUCCAUUGCUAAUUAGAGGCAGACCCAGCAGUCUGCUCUCUCAAUGCUAUUUUCCAGAUAGCUGUGUCCCAUUCUGGCCUGAAUUCAUGGGAAUCAUUAUGGUGGUGCCUGUGCUCACUUCUUCCUUCUAGUUUUUAUCAAAUGGUCUCUGACUUGGCCCCCAGAUAUGCUCACCUAGCAGGAUUUCUUGGGCAAUCAGGGAAGAAGGUUGGGAUGUUGGUUCCAGUUUCUGACAUACCUCAGGUAUUGCCUUCCCUAACCCAAUCUCCUUCUUCUCCUUUCUCUUUAGAUCUCCAACAGCUAGAAGGUUCCCUAAGAGACCACGCAAAACAAGCCUGUCCAUUCAUUUAUUCAUUGACUAAAUAUGCAUUCAGUCCUCCUACUUGCCAGGCAGUGUUAGAGCCUGAGGAUACAUCAGUGAACAAGGCAGACAAGGUCUCUUCCCUUGUUGACAUCUUGGAAGAGGAGACAGACUAUAAAAGGGAUUAGGAUGGAUGCUGUGAAGAUGAAAAAUGUGACAUAACAGACAAUGACUACUAGGCAGUGUGUUCCUGGCAAAGGGAACUGCUAAUGCCAAGGCUGGAGGAUGGGGUGGGCAAGGGGGACCCCACGCAAGGAGGUGCUCAGGGUCCAGCUGUGCAGCCUGGGGCCAGGGUGAGGAUUUGGUUAUAGUCUACAUGAUGCAAAGCUUUGAAGGGCUUUAUGGGGAGAGUGAUGUGAUCAGAUUAGGUAUGCAAAGAAUUCUUCAGCCACCAGGAGGAGAAUGGAUGGUAAGGAGAGCUGGAGUGCAGAAGGGAGAGAGAUGAGAAUGGCUUAGAUGGUAAGGUGGAGGGUCAUGGUCAGAUUCAGGAUCUAGGUCAUGGUGAAGCUAACAGGAGCUGAUGGACUGGAUAUGGGCACGGAGUGAGGGAUGACUCCUGGGCUUUUCACUUGGGGAGCUGAGUGAAGGGAGGUGCCAUCUACUCAAACAAAGAAGCCUAGAGAAAGAGUAGGUGUGGGGGAACAGUGGUUUCAUUUAGCCGUCAUGGCAGAUCUUGCUGGCUGCUCUCCCAGGACUGAGUCUCUCCUCCCUUAUAACAGAACCUGAAAAGUAUGGUGUUGUUGUUGUUAAGUACUCACCUGUCUGGCUCCUUCUUGUACCUUUUGCUCUUAUCCCAUCCUUCUUUUUCCUGAAACAGAGAUGUGAUACAUAGAAGUACAGCAGCUAUCUUGUUAUGCUGAGGGUAAAAGUCACAUGAUGGCUGGGACAGGGAGAUGCGUAGAUCCUGGGUCCUUGACAAUAUCAUUGAGCUGAUAUACCAGUCUGGGCAAGUUAAUCAUUUUACUUGUUUAAGCUACUGUUUUUGAGCCACCACACCUGGCCCAUUGUGGCUUUUCAUUGCUUGCUGCUGAAUGAAGUUAUAGCUAAUGGAAUUAUGUUGAGUUCAAGAUUUUUGGAGGAGGGACCUAGGUCUAGAGAAGGAGAGGGAGGUUACCCCUAUACACCGAGCUAGCCAAACCAGAUUUCAGUCAUUUAUUCAUUCAAGAAAUAUUUACUGGGAACCUACUAUGCACCAGGCACUAUCCUAGGUGCCGCGAUUUUAGCAGCAAAUAAAGUAAAGGUCCCUGCCCUUGAGGAGUUUGCCUUCUGCUAUCAUCAGGAAGCCAGCCCCGACUUCUGGGCAUCUGCAUUUCAUUUAAUCCCAAGAGUGGUGGGGUUUGAGGCAUGAACAGGUGAUAGUGGUCACAUGUGACAUGUCUAUUCCCACUGCCCUCCUCACCCACUCAUGAUCUUAGCAAAUCAAAAUGGUCAACAUAUCUCUCCAGUGUUUUCUAUGAGCCAAGCGCUGUGCUGUGUUCUACCUCUGAGGGAGGUGGUGUUAUUAUCCUCAUGUUACAGGAAGGUUAAGAAAGCAGUCCUAGUCAUACAAUUAACCAGUGGUUGUGCUAGAUUUAAACCCAGGGCUUUCUGACUCCAGAAAUUAACUGACCCCCUUCCAUCCCCAGGCAACCUCUUUAAAAAAAAAAAAUCUUUAUUGUCUAGAUUUUUUCAAAAUCCCCCACAAAGAUGCUACGUUCUCAUUUUCCCCAUUUUCUUCCUUUUCUUCCGUACCUCUGAUAUAAAGGACAUUAUUUGUAUUUUUUGAGACAGAGUCUCACACUGUUGUCUGGGCUGGAGUGCAAUGCUGUGAUCUCAGCUCACUGCAACCUCCACCUCCCAGGUUCAAGUGAUUCUUCUGUCUCAGCCUCCCAAGUAGCUGGGAUUACAGGUGCCCACCGCCACGCCUGGAUGAUUUUUUGUAUUUUUAGUAGAGAUGGGGUUUCACCAUGCUGGCCAGGCUGGUCCCGAAUUCCUGACCUCAUGAUCCACCCACCUUGGCCUCCUGAAGUGCUGGGAUUACAGGCGUGAGCAACCACGCCUCACCUAUGGAGAACAUUAUUAUACCGUAUUAAAACUUUACUGAGGUGUCCAGACAGCUCCCCACCUAUGUAUUCCUCUUAUUUGUAAGCUGCAUGUUCAUAUAGCUAUCUAAGAUGCCAGGUAGCCCUUGUACUCCAUUUCCUACUUUGUUUCACCAUCACCGAUUUGCCUGUUAAGCCACAGAGGACAGCUUCGGGAUUGAGGGGUAAACUUCUCGUAACUACGGGUGAAUGUGCAGGCUCCUGGACAACCUCUUGGCCCCAUUCCUGUACCCAUUUUUGUUAUGUCAUUGAAACCAUUUCCUGAUUUCCCCUUUCUCCUUUCUUUAGACAGGGACAAAGUGUCUUGUUCAUUCCUGUGGUCUAGGUACCCGAAUGAAGAUGAAUGCCUACCACCCUUCAUUUCUCCAUCCUACCUUUUUUUCUUUCUUUCUUUUUUUUCUGAAACGGAGUUUUGCCCUUGUUGCCCAGGCUGGAGUUUAAUGGCGUGAUCUCAGCUCAGCACAACCUCCACCUCCUGGGUUUAAGCAAUUAUCCUGCGUCAGCCUCUCAAGUAGCUGGGAUUACAGGCAUGCGCAGUGCCACGCCUGGAUAAUUUUGUAUUUUUAGGGGUUUCUCCAUGUUGGUCAGGCUGGUCUCUAACUCCUGAGCUCAGAUGAUCUGCCUGCCUUGCCCUCUCAAAGUGCUGAGAUUACAGGCAUGAGCCACUGCGCUCCUCAAUCCCACUUUUUAAGAAGCUUUCUCUAUGCUGAGUGCUGGGAAUAUAGACAAGUCAUAGAACAAGACACACACCUCUCAAGGGAGACAGGCAAGUAACAGGUGUCACAGUGUAAUGGGUCUGGUAGGAUAAUCGGAGGGACCAACAGAAGUACAGGAAAGAGCAUCCAAGUUAGACCAGUGUGGUGGGAACCAGUCAAGGAGGGCUGCCUGGGGGAGUUGACACCUGAGCUGAGUCCCAGAUGAGAAGCAGGAGUUGAGCAGGUAAAUAAAAGCAGUGGGGAUGUUCCAGACAAAGAGAGCAGCACAUGGAGUGUGGAGAGGCGACAUGGCAGCAUGUGCGCAUGGCUGGACUGUGGAUGGUAGGGGGCUUAUCUCCCACUAAGGAGUCCUUCCUGGGAACCCCCUCCAGGACUGUCCAGAUAAGAACUGUCCUCCAAUUCAUAUCUCCCUUCUUGUACCUUUUGCCCUUUCCCCAUCCUUACCCAAUUCAUAUCAGGGUACUUUACACCAGCCCAGUACCCUGACCUCCCUGCCCUAGAGCCUCAGGCUUCCAGAGGCCAGGUCAUCACUACCUCCUCCUAUCAGACCUCCUCCCCACACCCUGUUCCUGCCUGAGCUUUCCUACACAUUUAAAAAUCCAGAUGCCUGUGUUGCUUCCCAUACCAACAAGAUCAGAAUGUCUGGGGGCAGGGGCCGGAUGUUGGUGUUUUUUAAAUAUCCCUGGAUGAUUCCAUUUUCAGCAAAGUUUGAGAACCACUGUUUUAGCCUUGAUGAAGCACCCAUUCACCUCCUGUCCCUUAGGCCCUGGGUUGCAGAUGACCUGGUGAUUUUUUUUUUCUUCCAGAUUUACUUCCUGGACUCAUGGGCCUGGGUCCCAGUACAAAUUUCUGCUGAGCAAUCUUGUCUCCACUUUGUUCCUGACCUUUGCCUAGCCCUGGGCCUCCAGUCUGCCUUGAUUACCUCGUCUGACCUAUCUCACAAUCACUAGGUACUUAAUAAAUAUUUGCUGUUGGGGGCUGGGCGUGAUGGCUCAUGCCUGUAAUCCCAUCACUUUGGGAGGCUGAGGCAGUUGGAUCACAAGGUCAGGAGAUAGAGAACAUCUUGGCCAACAUGAUGAAACCCCAUCUCUACUAAAAAUACAAAAAUUAGCCGGUUGUGGUAGUGCACAUCUGUAGUCCCAGCUACUCUGGAGGCUGAGGCAGGAGAAUUGCUUGAACCCGGGAGGCAGAGGUUACAGUGAGCUGAGAUUGCACCACUGCACUCCAGCCCUGGCGACAGAAUGAGACUCUGUCUCAAAAUAAAUAAAUAAAUAUUAGCUGUUGAUGAUGGCAAGACCUUGAGAUUGAUGCAGAGUCUGGCCAAGAGGAUCCUUGAUGUGGGAGAUAGAAAAAGGCUUUAGGGUCAGGCAGACUUGGAUUCGAAUACCAGCCAAUUCUGCUUGCUGUGUCUGAGCCUCAGUUUACUCGUCUGUGAAGAGGAGGUAGCAGGAAUGAAAAUGCCUACCUUGCUGUUUGUUGUAAGGACAGAGACACUGGCUAUGUAGAGGGCCCAGCAGCUCACAGACCAGUUGCUCUGGGAGUAGACCGCUCUUACCUUGAUGAUAGAAAACUGUUUUUGGGGCCAGGCGCGGUGGCUCACGCCUAUAAUCCCAGCACUUUGGGAGGCCGAGGCAGGUAGAUCACGAGGUCAAGAGAUCGAGACCAUCCUGGUCAACAUGGUGAAACCCCGUCUCUACUAAAAAUAUAAAAAAUUAGCUGGGCAUGGUGGCUCAUGCCUGUAGUCCCAGCUAUUCAGGAGGCUGAGGCAGGAGAAUUGCCUGAACCCAGGAGGCAGAGGUUGCGGUGAGCCGAGAUCGCUCCAUUGCACUCCAGUCUGGGUAACAAGAGCAAAACUCCGUCUCAAAAGAAAAAAAAAAAAGAAAAGAAAACUGCUUUUGGGCAUGGCAAGUGGGACAUCAGGAAGGAAGGCAACUGUGAGCCUUCUGAAAAGGACCCUACACAAGGGGGUUUCCUCCCAGGGCAGGUGAAUGGAGAAGGUGGUAAAAGUCUAUGGGCAGGGGUCACAGGGAUCGGCCAGAGAAUGCCGCCACCCUGCCUGGGGAAUACAGGGCAAGGUCCCUGGUGGGAGUUUUCCUGGGAAGCCAGAGAAGCAUCCCAUGAAGACAGAAUCAACGUUUGGGUACCUUCAGUACCCAGAGGCAGCAAUGCCAACUACAACCACACUGGAAGAAGUUCUUCUCUGCAAAGAUCUCUGACUCUUCCUCCUUCAUGGUACCAACGCUGGGGAACCAGCAUGGUGGGGAAAUCAUGAAGCUGGAAUUCAAGCAUUAUAGACUUCACAACCUUCUCCCCACAAGUCUUGUAGAUACCAAAGGGAUUUUAGGAUCACAUUUUAUUUCUCCCCUGAGCAAGAAAAGCUAUAGUAGCAUCUCAAGCUGGGGACAGGAGUGUCCAGAGGAGUUCAAGGGGCUCUGGCAAAAAACUCAAGAGGCUGGUUCAAGAACUGGCUCCCAUGUGUGCUGGGUGCCAGUGAAAUUGCUGCCAAAUGCCUGUGUGGCCUUGGCAAGGCCUUUUGUUUCUCUGGGCCUUGGUUUCUCUAGCUGUGAAAUGACUGUUCUAAAAGAGCCCUGCCGGCCUUCGGCAGUCUGUAAGAAGACCUGAGUUCUCCUCUCAGUUCCAAGCAGGAAAAUUGAACAAUCCUGAGCCCAAAGCCUGUAACAAACUCUGGGCAGCUUCAGGAAGUCAGGCAGUGAAGUCCAAACAAUGAUCUCUUUUGUAUA